UACGUAGGGCGCAAGCGUUGUCCGGAUUUAUUGGGCGUAAAGGGCUCGUAGGCGGUCUGUUGCGUCGGGAGUGAAAACUUACAGCUUAACUGUGAGCGUGCUUCCGAUACGGGCAGACUUGAGGUAUUCAGGGGAGAACGGAAUUCCUGGUGUAGCGGUGAAAUGCGCAGAUAUCAGGAGGAACACCGGUGGCGAAGGCGGUUCUCUGGGAAUGACCUGACGCUGAGGAGCGAAAGUGUGGGGAGCGAACAGG
rnacentral:rRNA from 1 species